rnacentral:lncRNA from 1 species
GGAUGACUCAAGCCAGGAGGGGGAUGAGUCCUAGAGGCCUUCCUCCCAGAACCUCUGACCUUGAAGCCAGAUGGAUGGACAGACAGGACAGACAGGCACGCAUGGACACACACACAGACACACACACACACACACACUCCAAAAGGAAGCCGGCUGCCAAGGGGGUCCCCCAAAGAGGCCCUGUUCAAAGGGGAAGAUCAGGGAAGCACUUAGCCAAUCUAGAAAUGCAGGUCUGAGCUGGCCUGGGGCUUUAGCGGAGGGCUGCUGUCUCUGGACCAUCACAGAAGUGCUAACUGCUGGGCCCUGUGGUGCACAGUUCAAGAGGACCCUAACAUCUGCUCUGCACUGUCACAUGGGCUUGGUCUCCUUAUCUCCACCAACUGCACCUCUGCGCAGAGGACAGGAAGGGGCCAAGCAGGUAACCAGAGCACGUGACUAUUUAGUAAAACCUCAGAGCUGCAUUACCAGGGGUGUCCACUCACUCAGGGCUCUGGAGCCCAGGUGGUAGGGUGGCAGGGCCAUAAACUGUUUAUGGGUCUCCAAAACGUGACACAUCAAGUUGACCUCACCUACUCGCCUUCAUUCUUCUCCAUGGAGUCCCUCUCUGGCUCCUUUGGUGUCCUGCCCCCACGUCCCUUUGGCCCGAAGGUUCCCAAAUGGUGUGGAAAAUACAAUUCUCCGUGGAGUUUUCCUCCUGGCGACAGGGUACUUCAUAAUUAAUGGAACUGCCCAGACGUGAAGGUUACCUUGACCUUGUCUGCGCCAUAAAUAUAACUGGAGCAAGGCUCAGAGAGCAGCAUUCAGGAAAGCAAAUUGCUUUCAUCUUUGUUAUUUUUAAUCUCAUCUUCGUUUUGCUUCGCUGUAGUAUCAGAACACUUUAACGAAGGAAAACCUAACCUCUAGUCUCAAUCCCAAGGUUAGCUCCCGUGAUGUCUGCUCUGGUCUCCCACUGUGUCCACCUUCCUUUAUUGCGAGGGAGGGCACAUGAGUCCCUGUGGCUCAGCCGGGAGGUGGCCAUGGGACCUGCAGACGCCUCUCUGCAUCCAGGCGCUUCCCAUAAUGAAGGCUUAGUUCCAUUAAAAGUUAUUUUGGGGAUUCCACAAGCCCACCACCACCACCACCCCCAAAGUGGAAAUUUUAUGUCAGGGAGUCAAAAAAAAAAAAAAAAAAAAAAAGGCAACGGUUCCUUAAUAAUUAUCUUUGGAAUCCUACUCCGAAAUAAACCCAGGCGAGAGAUGCGAACUUAAA